rnacentral:lncRNA from 1 species
UUUGUGCAUUGCAUUCGCUUAGUUUUCAAUUUGAAGACCGAAUUUGCCUUCGCUUAGUUGGGUGAUUCGUGUCGGAUUUGGAUUAGAGUAGUGUGUACUUGUCGUUAAUCUGUGAUUAGAAGCAUAGUAAUUGAGUUAAUGACCAACCGCUUUUAGUCUGCAUUUUGCAUUUCUAUUUUCACAUUUCUGUCUACAUUUCUGUUUUUCAUUUUUUAUUGCAUCUGUGUUUUAAUUUGAUUCAUCCGCAUUAACAAACCUUUCACAAACCCCCCCUCCCACUUCGUGUUCGACCUAAUUCUCGAACCACAUUUGGUCCUUGAGAGACGACCUAGGAGUCACUUCCGAAUCUAUACUGCAUUCCUUAAUGCACAUUAAAU